rnacentral:rRNA from 1 species
CACGGGGGGAGCAAGCGUUGUUCGGAUUUACUGGGCGUAAAGGGCGCGUAGGCGGCCACCGCAAGUCACUUGUGAAAUCUCCGGGCUUAACCCGGAAAGGUCAACUGAUACUGCGGGGCUAGAGUGCAGAAGGGGCAACUGGAAUUCUCGGUGUAGCGGUGAAAUGCGUAGAUAUCGAGAGGAACACCUGCGGCGAAGGCGGGUUGCUGGGCUGACACUGACGCUGAUGUGCGAAAGCUAGGGGAGCGAACGGG